UGGGGAAUAUUGGACAAUGGGCGAAAGCCUGAUCCAGCAAUGCCGCGUGAGUGAUGAAGGCCUUAGGGUUGUAAAGCUCUUUUACCAGGGAUGAUAAUGACAGUACCUGGAGAAUAAGCUCCGGCUAACUCCGUGCCAGCAGCCGCGGUAAUACGGAGGGAGCUAGCGUUGUUCGGAAUUACUGGGCGUAAAGCGCGCGUAGGCGGUUUUUUAAGUCAGAGGUGAAAGCCUGGAGCUCAACUCCAGAACUGCCUUUGAAACUGGAAAACUUGAAUCUUGGAGAGGUCAGUGGAAUUCCGAGUGUAGAGGUGAAAUUCGUAGAUAUUCGGAAGAACACCAGUGGCGAAGGCGACUGACUGGACAAGCAUUGACGCUGAGGUGCGAAAGCGUGGGGAGCAAACAGG
rnacentral:rRNA from 2 species